UGAAAAGAGGGGAAAUGAGCGAAACUAGUUGUUGCUAAUUUAUGCUUAUAUUCACGUGAUUCAUAUACUAAAUUGAGCUUCGUAUCUUAUAUGCAUACUGUCAGUCCAUGAUGGCAGUCAAGUUUACUUAAGCGCUCAGUCACUUUCCAUUCAUUACAUCCUCAUGCUGUCAAAAGCCAAAAACUCAUGUGUGAAGCCUAUGUAUCGUGGAAAAAAAAUGUGUGGAGACAAGGUAUUUCCCCAUUACUGCUACCACACCAAUCACACCACGUCAAAUGCCUUAUUAAAUUCAUCACCAUUAACCCAUAUGAUAAAGCAUCAGGAAAUUUACCUCAACCUGAGGAGUAAGGCUGUUGGUUGCUGUGAUUUCCAUUUUUACGGUUUUUUAUCAUGAAACUUUCAGUGUAUAGUUAAGAGCAUGCAAUAGAUUCUUAAGCCAGUGCUGACCUUUGUCCAUGACGGAAGGACUUCCAGCAACGUUUUGCUCCAUCCUCAUCUUCCCGAUGUACACUCAUCUAGCUUCACUGCUUUUGCUGCUACAACUUGUCUUACUUCACCGACGAGUUGGAACACUUCCGUGGUCGCUACCCUUUGCUGUUACACACCUGCAGUUACUCACCACGGGAUUAUGGCCAGGUAAUGCAGAGGAAAUUUCGAGAAGAUGGACACCAUAACGUCGCCGGUAUCUCCAAAGU